GAUCAGGAGACACACCCACCCACCAGCUCUGGAGGCACGCAGGCCAUGACAGGAAGAAUCCUGCCCCGUGAUUCUGUCACUAUGGAUCAGGAAGCAGCACACAGAUCACCACUUUCAUGUCUGUAACCCCAAUAGACAUCACCAGUGGAUCUCAGAUCUCUUUCUUUACUGGAUGGAAAGGCUCAGCUUAAGUUCCUCGGCUCAAAACCAGACCCUGGACAUGGACGUGCUCACCCAGAUGGUGCCUAGGUAGGGCAGCUGCUUGUUUAUUUGGUCCUGGUCUGGAAUGGAUUCAAGACUUCUGAUGGUCUUACCUGAGCGUGGAGACCUGGGAGAGGGACCGUCAGGUUGCAAGCCCCACAGGUCUCCUUCCCCUGUGCUCAAGGAGUGUCUUGCAGGGAGUGUCCGUAACUCCCUGCUGUCAGAAACUACCACCCAGGGAACAGAGCAGCAGGUGGGGGUCUGCUCUUCUGUGCUGGCCCUGCCCCCAUGAGGCUGAAUGGGCGCCUUGGUGCAGCUCGGGGGCCCCAGAAACAUUUGCUUUAAGUCUUAAAAUAUCAGGUUCCCGAAUGGCGGGACUUCCCUGGGGGCUGGCAGCAGGCAGGAGGGAUUUUGAGAGUAAGAUUCCCCUCUGGCUCCGCCCCAUUGGCUCCGCCCCAUUGGCCUCCACUGAAGCCAGGCAAAUGUUGUGGGUAAGCCAACAGGGCUCCGACUGGGCUCCCGUUCUCCUGCUGGAGGGAGCCUCCUACUCACUCGUCCAUCUCAGCUUCUCGGAUGCCCCUCUGUCCUCUUCACAAUGUGUGCCCUGGUGGAGGCCGGGCCCUGACAGCUUCCGUACCAAGCUUCAUAGCCAAAGCUUGAUUCUACAGGACCCAAUAACAUCUUCAGCUAAAGACGAUUUAGAUGAAGUGCUGUGUACCCUAAGCCUGUGUGCAGCCUUCUUUCAGACCAGAGAAACUAGGAAGAAAUGACACCAGGUUAAUAUGGAGCUUAGUACUCCCAGUGGCUUUCAAGCAAUAGGUAUAAUUGCACAGGGUCUUGAAGGGUGAGUAGGAGUUUCCAGAUGGCUCAGGUGGGGAGGCUCAUUGGCUCAAAGAUCUGGGUGGUACAAGCUGGUACCUGGUUCUUGGAAUAGAAGGGAGACUCUGUGGGUACAGACAGGGACAGAGGGAUGUUCGAUCCACUUCUUAGAACAUAUAGGAGCUUGGCACGGGUGCCACCUGAGGAUGCGAUUGAGAGCUAUUAGAGAUUCAGGUACUAAAAGCAGGGAGACCUUCUGCACACAAUCUGGGGGGGCGGGUAAGAGAGUCUCCCCAACAGCUUGUUCUGUCCCUUAGCAUGAAAGCAACUUCCUCCUACUCCUGAUGCCCCAGGGACCACUGCCAGGAGGAAGGCACAGCCCCCACACAUCCCCACUCCCUCUCAGACAGACCACCAGCCUUGGCCCUAGGGACUCUCUUCCAUGCAGAGCGGGAAUUGGAGCCAGGCUGCAACAGCUGGGUCCACUCCUGCCCACCCCCCCAGGCCUACCACUUUCAUUCCCAGGCCCCCAGCCCAAGCCAUUCCCAGGCUGUAUCUGUCCCCAAACACACUGCUUGGGAUGUGGUCCGACCAGGCUUCCAGAAGACCACCAGUCAGGGUGUUGCCUUCCUCUGGCUCCCAGGAUGCAGAGUCUUAGGUUGGCAGGGUUUCUUAGGCUUGUUGUCACCAGGGUAAGCUAUAAAGAACAGAGGUCCCCUAGGGGACUCAACAGCUCCCCCAGAAAUAGCAAGAGGGAGGGGCUGAGGGAAAAGGAGCAGGAGGGAGAGGGGAAGGGAGAGAGAAUAUAUCAUUCAAGGUAUACAAGACCUCCAACAGUUCAUUCUGGAAGCAGCUACCUAUAGAUUCAUGCAUGUAUUAAAACAGCCAGUCCUGGUUCCAACUGGUGGGUUCCACCAACCACAGAAUAAAAAUAUUUUAAAAGG
ensembl:antisense 4930588K23Rik RIKEN cDNA 4930588K23 gene